GGCGCGCAAUUACCCAAUCCUGACACAGGGAGGUAGUGACAAUAAAUAACAAUUCAGAGCCUAACUGGUUUUGCAAUUGGAAUGAGUACAAUUUAAAUCCCUUAACGAGAAUCAAUUGGAGGGCAAGUCUGGUGCCAGCAGCCGCGGUAAUUCCAGCUCCGAUAGCGUAUAUUAAAGUUGUUGCAGUUAAAAAGCUCGUAGUUGAAUUUUGGGCCCGACUGAGUGGUCUUGCCUCGUUGUAAGCACUGCUCUGGUUGGGUCUUUCCUUCUGGCUAACCAGCUGCCUUUCAUUGGGUUGGCUGGGGCUCCAGGACUUUUACUUUGAAAAAAUUAGAGUGUUCAAAGCAGGCAUUUUUUAGCUUGAAUACAUUAGCAUGGAAUAAUAAAAUAGGACUUUGGUUCUAUUUUGUUGGCUUCUAGGACCGAAGUAAUGAUUAAUAGGGAUAGUUGGGGACGUUAGUAUUUAGUUGUCAGAGGUGAAAUUCUUAGAUUUACGAAAGACUAACUUCUGCGAAAGCAUUCGUCAAGGAUGUUUUCAUUAAUCAAGAACGAAAGUUAGGGGAUCGAAGACGAUCAGAUACCGUCGUAGUCUUAACCAUAAACUAUGCCGACUAGGGAUCGGACGACGUAUAAUUAUUGACUCGUUCGGCACCUUAUGAGAAAUCAAAGUUUUUGGGGUUCCGGGGG
rnacentral:rRNA from 1 species